GUUUUAGUAAUUUAAUAAAAAUAUUGGUCUUGUAAACCAAAAAUAAGCAUAGCCUUUUAAAACU
rnacentral:tRNA from 1 species